rnacentral:piRNA from 1 species
UGUCGAAUAUAAAAGUUGGCU